rnacentral:rRNA from 1 species
AACGUAGGUGGCGAGCGUUAUCCGGAAUUACUGGGCGUAAAGCGUGUGCAGGCGGGCUAGCAAGUGGUGUAUGAAAGCUCCCGGCUCAACCGGGAAGGGUUAUGCCAGACUGCUAGUCUUGAGUGCGAGAGAGGAGCGUGGAAUUCCGGGUGUAGUGGUGGAAUGCGUAGAGAUCCGGAGGAACACCAGCGGCGAAGGCGGCAUCCUGGACUGGUACUGACGCUCAGGAGCGAAAGCGUGGGGAGCGAUCCGG